UACAGAGGUCCCAAGCGUUGUUCGGAUUCACUGGGCGUAAAGGGUGCGUAGGUGGGCUGGUAAGUCAGUGGUGAAAUCUCCAGGCUUAACUUGGAAACUGCCAUUGAUACUAUCAGUCUUGAAUACCGUGGAGGUCAGCGGAAUAUGUCAUGUAGCGGUGAAAUGCUUAGAUAUGACGUAGAACACCAAUUGCGAAGGCAGCUGGCUACACGAAUAUUGACACUGAUGCACGAAAGCGUGGGGAUCAAACAGG
rnacentral:rRNA from 1 species